rnacentral:tRNA from 1 species
CAAAGUGUAGCUAAAUAAGUUAAGCAUUUCAGUUACAUUGAAAAGAUUUAUCGUGCAAGUCGGUUCGCUUUGA